rnacentral:rRNA from 1 species
CAAGGCUUGACAUAUAGAGGAAAAGUGCAGAAAUGCACUCCCCGCAAGGUCUCUAUACAGGUGGUGCAUGGUUGUCGUCAGCUCGUGUCGUGAGAUGUUGGGUUAAGUCCCGCAACGAGCGCAACCCUCGUCCUAUGUUGCCAGCACGUUAUGGUGGGAACUCAUGGGAUACUGCCGGGGUCAACUCGGAGGAAGGUGGGGAUGGCGUCAAAUCAUCAUGCCCCUUAUGUCUUGGGCUUCACGCAUGCUACAAUGGCCGGUACAGAGGGCUGCAAUACCGCAAGGUGGAGCGAAUCCCAAAAAGCCGGUCUCAGUUCGGAUUGAGGUCUGCAACUCGACCUCAUGAAGUCGGAGUCGCUAGUAAUCGUAGAUCAGCAACGCUACGGUGAAUACGUUCCC